UGGGGAAUAUUGCACAAUGGGCGCAAGCCUGAUGCAGCGACGCCGCGUGAGGGAUGGAGGCCUUCGGGUUGUAAACCUCUUUCGCCAGUGAAGCAGGCCAUCUUCUUUGUGGGGUGGUUGACGGUAGCUGGAUAAGAAGCGCCGGCUAACUACGUGCCAGCAGCCGCGGUAAUACGUAGGGCGCGAGCGUUGUCCGGAAUUAUUGGGCGUAAAGAGCUCGUAGGCGGCUGGUCGCGUCUGUCGUGAAAUCCCCUGGCUUAACUGGGGGCUUGCGGUGGGUACGGGCCGGCUUGAGUACGGUAGGAGAGACUGGAAUUCCUGGUGUAGCAGUGGAAUGCGCAGAUAUCAGGAGGAACACCGGUGGCGAAGGCGGGUCUCUGGGCCGUUACUGACGCUGAGGAGCGAAAGCGUGGGGAGCAAACAGG
rnacentral:rRNA from 1 species